rnacentral:rRNA from 1 species
AAACCAACAGGGAUUGCCUUAGUAACGGCGAGUGAAGCGGCAAAAGCUCAAAUUUGAAAGCUAGCACCUUCGGUGUUCGCGUUGUAAUUUGAAGAUAGUUUCCUUGAGUAGUCCUUUAUCUAUGUUCCUUGGAACAGGACGUCAUAGAGGGUGAGAACCCCGUAUGAUUUUGGAUACUACUCUUUGUGGGAUUCUAUCGAAGAGUCGAGUUGUUUGGGAAUGCAGCUCUAAGUGGGUGGUAAAUUCCAUCCAAAGCUAAAUAUUGGCGAGAGACCGAUAGCGAACAAGUACAGUGAUGGAAAGAUGAAAAGAACUCUGAAGAGAGAGUGAAAAAGUACGUGAAAUUGCUGAAAGGGAAGGGCUUGAGGUCAGACUUGGUGUUUAAUGAUUAUCAGUUCUUCUUGGACUGUGCACUCGUUUUUCACCGGGCCAAUAUCAGUUUUAGCGGUAGAGUACCCCUUGAAAUGUGGCUUCCUUCGGGGAGUGUUAUAGUCUUGGGGAGAUCUACUUGCUGGGACUGAGGACUGCGCUUCGGCAAGGAUAUUGGCGUAAUGACCUUAAGCCGC